GGUAAGGGAAGAUUGACUUGGAUAACUAUCAUAGCAGGGCGUCCCCAGAGUGGUGAUAAUUAGCAUUGACUCCAUGAUUCCAGAAGGCUGAUCAAUCGCUUUAUUGUAUUAUACUAUACUCUACUACUAAGAAACACUCAUUGCUCUUGCAGACAAUCUGAUACAGACAGACCAGAUUGCUUGAUUGAAAUCCAAACACCGUCGCCAUUGGCCAAUUAAGAAAUCACCCUUUGGUAAAAAAAUCUACAUAACACAUUCCACAUGUGCACAACAGGCGCAGCAAGUGAAGGUAAGAAUUGUUUCUCAUUCUUUUCUCUGAGCUUUCUCACAGCUUCCCAGGAAAAUCCUGGGAGAGCUCUCUCUCUCUGUUCAGAGGAUAUGUGAUUACCACAGGUCAGUUGUGACAAUGCAGGCCCAAGGACACCACGGUGACACUUCAGAACCUCAUGGAACCAAGGGGCCAGUGUGACACUGUGCUGCCUCAUGGAAUCAAGGAGACCAUUGUGGAACUCGGGGGUCCCAAGGAACCAAGGGUCCAUGGUGACCUUGUGGAGCCCGCAGUGUCACAGAGGAGCCGUUGUGACACAGCGAGGGCGCAUGGAGCCGAGGGGCCAUUGUGACACAUCAGGGCUUUGUGGAACCACAAAGCCAUUGUGACAUUGCAAGGCCUCGUGGAAGCACGGGCCCAUUGUGACACUGCAGAAGCAAGGGGGACAUUGUGACACUCCAGGGCCUCAUGGAACCAAGGAGACCAUUGUGACACUGUGGGGUCCCACGAAACCAAGGGAACAUGGAACAGGUCUGGCUGGCUGGGGCUCCUGGGGACCACCUGACAGGACAAAAACAUCCAUCCUGACCAGGUGCCAAUGGCCAAAACUGGGAUUCCACCUCUAAAACUCCAUACAGCCAAGGAUUGCUCCCCAUUAAAAGCAGCCAGGACAGACAGGUCUGGCUGCCCUUGGCCUCUUGGGGGCUGCCUCUCA